GCCAGCAGUGAUGACAAGUUGAAUGUACUAGGUACCUUUCAAUGGGUCAUUGAAGUUAAGCAACGUUACUUGUGGUUAGUAUCUGGAGGGGUGGCUAUCUGGAAAAUUGUGUGCUGCUCGCA
rfam:Asian citrus Psyllid, Diaphorina citri - Florida Strain, whole genome shotgun sequence.